rnacentral:rRNA from 1 species
CAGUCGCCGCGGGAAUACGUAGGUGGCAAGCGUUGCCCGGAAUUAUUGGGCGUAAAGGGCUCGCAGGCGGUUUCUUAAGUCUGAUGUGAAAGCCCCCGGCUCAACCGGGGAGGGUCAUUGGAAACUGGGAAACUUGAGUGCAGAAGAGGAGAGUGGAAUUCCACGUGUAGCGGUGAAAUGCGUAGAGAUGUGGAGGAACACCAGUGGCGAAGGCGACUCUCUGGUCUGUAACUGACGCUGAGGAGCGAAAGCGUGGGGAGCGAACAGGUUUAGAUACCCCGUAGUCCCUGUCUCUUAUACA